AGGGAGAGCGUCUCGGAUCAUUGACAACUAAAUAGGAGCAGCAACGUCCAAUUAAAGGGCCCUGAUCACGAAACACAGUAAUAAAAUGAAUCUGGAGAGUUUGAUCCUGGCUCAGAACGAACGCUGGCGGCGUGCCUAACACAUGCAAGUCCAACGUGAAAGGGGAGCAAUCCCCCGGUAGGGUGGCAAACGGGUGAGUAAUACAUGGGUGAUCUACCUUAGGGAUGGGGAUAUCCUUCCGAAAGGAGGGGCAAUACCGAAUAUUGUCCGGAGCCGUGAAGGGUUCCGGGGAAAGGGAGGCCUCUGAUACAAGCUUUCGCC
rnacentral:rRNA from 1 species